rnacentral:rRNA from 1 species
UACGUAGGGGGCAAGCGUUGUCCGGAUUUAUUGGGCGUAAAGAGCGUGUAGGCGGCCAGACAGGUCAGCUGUGAAAACUCGAGGCUCAACCUCGGGCUGUCGGUGGAAACCGUGUGGCUAGAGUCCGGAAGAGGAGAGUGGAAUUCCCGGUGUAGCGGUGAAAUGCGCAGAUAUCGGGAAGAACACCCGUGGCGAAGGCGGCUCUCUGGGACGGUACUGACGCUGAGACGCGAAAGCGUGGGGAGCGAACAGG